GGGAUGGAACAAUCGGAGUGGGAUCACCGCCAUGACCCGGUGUGAGGGGGAGCCCGGAGGGAGCCUUGGAUGGUCGGGAGUGGCUUGAACGCCUGGCUGGUGGUUCUCCUUCACGGUAUUAAAGAAAAUUCGCACAGACACGCCAUGUGUUGUUGGCUUCUCCUCCUCCACUGCUUUUUUUUUCUUCCCUUUCCCCAACCCGACAUACUGGGAUUUCCGAUGCUUUCAGGCUGAAAUGCUUGCGUGGGAAAUGAGGCCCUCAGGUGGUAGUAGGGCGGCUGGCAGGACGGGUAGCAGAUGCUUAAAUUAGUGACACUGGAGCUCUAGAGCUUAUGGACUCUAGAAUUUAUAAACUGCAUUACCAGAAUUUAUUAGCUGUGUUAUGUAGCUUGAGUAUUUGGGAAGAGGAUGCUUAAACUAUAUUAGUGUGCAGCUAUAGGCACGUGGGUGAUUAAAGGAAGAUUAGGGGAAACAUGGACCCUCUCAAAAGGGAAGUGGGACACCUGGUUACCUGGGAUAUGGAGAAGGCUGAGGUACUUCACGAUUUUUUUGCCUCAGUCUUCACUAGCAAGUGACACCACCAGAGCUGCAGAAGGCAAGGCAAGGACGAGGAGAAUGAAGAACCACCUGCUGUAGGAGAAGAUCAGGUUUGAGACUGUCUAAGGGGCCUGAAGCUGCACAAGUCCGUGGGAUUUGAUGAGAUGCAUCCACAGAACCUGAGGGGUCUGGCAGAUGAAGUGUCUAAGCGGCUAUCCAUAUGUGAGAAGCUAAGGUAGUCUGGUGAAGUUGCCACUGGCUGGAAAAAGGGAAAUAUAGCCCCCCUUUUUAAAAAGAGAAAAAAGGAAGUCUUGCCUCUGCCCAGCAAGAUCACGGAACAGAUCCUCCUGGAUAUUAUGCUAAGAUACAUGAAAAGUGAAUGGUGACAGCCAGCAUGGCUCCACUAAGGGCAAGUUGUGCCUGACAAAUUUGAUGGCUUUCUACAACAAGGUUACAAGGGAAGAGCAGCUGAUGUCAUCUAUCUGGACUUGUGCAAAGCAUUUGACACUGUCCCACACAACAUCCAUGUCUCUAAAUUUCAGAGACAUAGUUUUGGUGCAUAAGGAACUGUCUGAUGGAAAGCUUCAGAGUUGUUAAUCAAUGCUGUUGUAUGCACUGUGACAGAUGGAAGUAUCAAUUUUAUAGCACAGUAGAGAUGUCAAGUGUAUUACUAUGUAUGUGUGUCCACAUACAUUUCCCCAAAUCAGUUACAAGGGCACCUUCUCCUUCCUCCCCCCUGGGACCAAGCCCCUGGACCAUCUUCUAUAAAUUUGUUCUGGCAGAACUAAAAAAUAAAAAUGGUUUUCAAAACUGUAA